AAUCUCCUUCCAUUCGAUGGCGUCACGCAAGUGGCUGAAAAAGGGAACCGGGUGAAACCCCCGGACUGCCCCCGCAACUGUAAGCGGCGAGCGUUUAGGAAAACCACUGGCCCGAGCUGGGCUGGGAAGGCCGACAACGCGACGACCCGUAAGUCAGGAAACCUGCCAUUGAUCAUCUGCCGCG
rnacentral:ncRNA from 2 species